AUUGAACGCUGGCGGCAUGCUUUACACAUGCAAGUCGAACGGUAACAGGCCGCAAGGUGCUGACGAGUGGCGAACGGGUGAGUAAUGCAUCGGAACGUGCCCAGUCGUGGGGGAUAACUACUCGAAAGAGUAGCUAAUACCGCAUACGAUCUAUGGAUGAAAGCGGGGGACCGUAAGGCCUCGCGCGAUUGGAGCGGCCGAUGUCAGAUUAGGUAGUUGGUGGGGUAAAGGCUCACCAAGCCAACGAUCUGUAGCUGGUCUGAGAGGACGACCAGCCACACUGGGACUGAGACACGGCCCAGACUCCUACGGGAGGCAGCAGUGGGGAAUUGUGGACAAUGGGCGCAAGCCUGAUCCAGCAAUGCCGCGUGCAGGAAGAAGGCCGUCGGGUUGUAAACUGCUUUUGUACGGAACGAAACGGCUCUGGUUAAUACCCGGGGCUAAUGACGGUACCGUAAGAAUAAGCACCGGCUAACUACG
rnacentral:rRNA from 1 species